GUUUCAACCUCUUCUCACCAGUGGCGUGAUUUGUGGAUAGCCCAGAGGAAAUAUUUCAUUGCGUACAGGAAGCAAAUAAAACCAGAUGCGGAACAGAGCAAACAGCGCACGUGACACCGCUGCAGCAGUUUUCAUUGAGAGCUCCAACAAAAGGCUGUAAAAGAGGUUCAAAGAUUAGUAGUGGGACUGAAAAUUUUGGAUAUGGCAGUUAAAUUUCAAGAGGAAAUCCCUCAGAAGAAACUGGAGAGUAAGAUACUUUCUUCCCCAGUGCAAGAAAGCGGAGCAUACCAAAGUAGUGCAAAAACCUGGAAAGCAUCUCAAUGCUCACCAUUUGGUUUGCCAAAUAAUCUGCAACAUCUUAAGUCUGAGAUGGAAGAGAUCCCAUGCCCUAAACAAGAACACUAUACACCAUACGCUACAACUGCCAAAGAGGGAGAUGACAGCGCCAGAGCUGGUCAGCAAAAUGAAGAUGGUGAAAACGCCAGUACAUCUGAAAAAGAAAGACCAUUGCCAACUCAAGCAAAGAAAGAAGAUGGAAGUGGUUUUAGCAGCAGUCCUAGGAGGAUCGGGGAACGAGUUAAAGGAAAACGGAAUGUCACGAUCACCCCUGUUAGACAUUCCAGGAGUUACAUAAAGAAAGCAGCGCUCUUUUUCAUGAUGUCAAGUAGUUUUCUCAUCUCUGGUAAGUACUUACAUGUUUAGCCAUUUAUACAAGAAAACCCAGGCAAGAAACAUGAACGUGAACCAACGCUAGACCAGGGUGUUGGUGCUCACCUGCAGCUCUGUGAUCCCUUCUUGUACCCCACAAAUCAUGUGAAAUUCACCAAUACCCUCAUAAGCUCAUAAUGAGAAAUAAAAGCAUAAUUUUAAGAAACUGAAAAAUGGAA
rnacentral:lncRNA from 1 species